GACGAACGCUGGCGGCGUGCUUAACACAUGCAAGUCGAGCGAGAGCCAGCUGAGGGGUAACCCUCGGCUGGGGACAGCGGCGAACGGGUGCGUAACACGUGGGCAACCUGCCCCUGACACUGGGAUAACCCCGGGAAACCGGAGCUAAUACCGGAUACUCUCGGCCGAUCACAUGGCUGGCCGAGGAAAGGUCCGCCGGUCAGGGAUGGGCCCGCGGCCUAUCAGCUUGUUGGUGAGGUAACGGCCCACCAAGGCGACGACGGGUAGCUGGUCUGAGAGGACGACCAGCCACACUGGAACUGAGAUACGGUCCAGACUCCUACGGGAGGCAGCAGUGGGGAAUAUUGCACAAUGGGCGAAAGCCUGAUGCAGCGACGCCGCGUGAGGGAUGACGGCCU
rnacentral:rRNA from 1 species